GAUGAAGAACGUAGCAAAAUGCGAUAAGUAAUGUGAAUUGCAGAAUUCAGUGAAUCAUCGAAUCUUUGAACGCACAUUGCGCCCGCUGGUAUUCCGGCGGGCAUGCCUGUUCGAGCGUCAUUUGUACCCUCAAGCUCUGCUUGGUGUUGGGUGUUUGUUCCGCCUCUGUGUGUGAACUCGCCUCAAAACAAUUGGCAGCCGGCGUACUUGUUUCGGAGCGCAGCACAUUUUGCGAUCCAGAUCAACGUACAGCGGCAUCCAAGAAGCCUUAUUUAACGCUCUUGACCUCGGAUCAGGUAGGGAUACCCGCUGAACUUAAGCAUAUCAAUAAGCGGAGGA
rnacentral:misc_RNA from 1 species